rnacentral:rRNA from 1 species
UACGAAGGGGGCUAGCGUUGUUCGGAUUUACUGGGCGUAAAGCGCACGUAGGCGGAUCUUUAAGUCAGGGGUGAAAUCCCAAGGCUCAACCUUGGAACUGCCUUUGAUACUGGGGAUCUCGAGUCCGGGAGAGGUGAGUGGAACUGCGAGUGUAGAGGUGAAAUUCGUAGAUAUUCGCAAGAACACCAGUGGCGAAGGCGGCUCACUGGCCCGGUACUGACGCUGAGGUGCGAAAGCGUGGGGAGCAAACAGGG